GUUAUUAAAUGCAACUGACAACCUUUUCCAAGUCUUCCACAAAUAUUAUCUCAGUUGGAUAUCAUAACAACCCUAGAGGUUCCAUCCUUAUCUCAUCCUUUCAUAUGAGAUGUUUUGGAAAUUCACCAUGGCAGAAUUUCCAGUGGGAUAUGAAGGAAAUGGAAAACCCAAAGACUUCUCCUUGCCCACUGCUUCACCAUUCUGACAUUGCUCUGAGCGUAGUUUUUUUCCUUAUCCAUAAUAUUUCUGUAGUUUACCUUUCUUUCCAUCAGUUUCUCUUUUAAAGUUGUAGGGUUUUUUUGGAGUAUGAUUUAUUCAAUUUCUAGGGUUUAAAAAGUAUGUAUUCUGUUGAUAAAUCUUUUCCUAUUUUGUUAAUUUGCAUUUAUAAAGAUACAUUUUUCUCUGAGAUUGUUUUUGCUAUACUUAAUAAUUUUGACAUGAUUCAUUAUUGCUUUCAUAUUACUAUUUUUUCAUGCUUUGUUCCUUCACACAUUCAUUGUUUACUAUUUCAUUAUCAAAUCUCCAUUUUUGUCUCAAUAUUUUGCUCAAUCUCCUUGUAAUGAUUAUUGAUAUUCUUCUGUUAUGAUUUUUUAAAGUUUAUUAUUCAGAUUUUAAAUAUUUAUUUGCAAUUUUCCAUGUCCUGACAAAUGGACUAACUUGGAGCACCAAAGUUUCCAUGUAUUUAUAACAAAUAUAUUUGACCCUUAGUGUUCCCAUUCAGACAGAGUAAAUAUUUUAGCUCUAAAAGCUUCAAAAAUUUUGACAAUUCUGGGGGCAUCUGGAUAGCUCAGUGGAUUGAGAGCCAGGCAUAGAGACUGGAAGUCCUAGGUUCAAAUUUGACCUCAGACACUUCCCAGCUAUGUGACCCUGGGCAAGUCACUUGAUCCCCAUUGCCUAGCCCUUACCACUCUUCUGCCUUGGAGCCAA
rnacentral:lncRNA from 1 species